AGUUCGGAUUGUAGUCUGCAACCCGACUACAUGAAGCUGGAAUCGCUAGUAAUCGCGGAUCAGAAUGCCGCGGUGAAUACGUUCCCGGGUCUUGUACACACCGCCCGUCACACCAUGGGAGUCGGAAAUGCCCGAAGUCUGUGACCCAACCUGAGAGGGAGGGAGCAGCCGAAGGCAGGUCUGAUGACUGGGGUGAAGUCGUAACAAGGUAGC
rnacentral:rRNA from 1 species